GUGCAGAUAAACACAUCUCCACUUCCCCCUGGGCAAGAGGACAAGAGGGCCAGAAAGAAGGUCUGGGACGGGUAUUUAGAGUGGGAGAGAAGAGGACUCUUUAGUUCUCAGAUCUGGGCAAGAGGACAAGAGGGCAAGAAAGAAGGUCUGGGACAGGUAUUUAGAGUGGGAGAGAAGAGGACUCUUUAGUUCUCAGAUCUGGGCAAGAGGACAAGAGGGCAAGAAAGAAGGUCUGGGACAGGUAUUUAGAGUGGGAGAGAAGAGGACUCUUUAGUUCUCCGAUGGAUGGAUGGAUCAUCCUCUUGUUUUCUGUCCUCUUGUCACCAGAAGUGACAUAAACAACACACCAAAGCAGAAAAAGAUUUGAAUUGACUCUGUUUCUGUCUCUGUCCCUCUCCCUGUCUCUCUCUCUCUCUACUUGUUCCUCUCAGUUGUGGUUUUGUAUCCCUCUGAAUGUAUCGAUACAUCAAUCUUAGUGGAUUUAUCUUUUUGUGUUACAUUCCAAACCAAACCUUUUGGAUUGACUUUCCAAUAUUUUGUUACAACCCAACCCCCUCUCCCAAUCCGUCCUCCCUUCCCUCUUCUCCUAGCCAGUCCUUAUACUCUAUCACUUAAUUCUCUCUUCAUAUCCUCUGUUAUCUUAUAAUUUGAAGGCUUUCAGAACUUGGUCAAAUUGUGUAAAGAUCUAAUUUGAUCACUGUGAACUCUGAAGGAGAUGGGUUAAAUGAGUUUGGUCUUGUGCGGGGGUCCUUGGAUAUAAUCACAACUCUGUAAUAGAGUUGAUUGUAAAUGUUUGUAGGGAUUGUUUAUUUCUACGGACAAUGUCAAAUAAUUGCUGAGUUUUAUAAACUUUUUUCUUUUUUAAAAUCAAAGUCUGGGUUAUAUGUACGUUCUUAUGUAAUAAAAUGACGAAAUGUUGUGAACGUU